GACGAACGCUGGCGGCGUGCUUAACACAUGCAAGUCGAACGGAAAGGCCCUGCUUUUGUGGGGUGCUCGAGUGGCGAACGGGUGAGUAACACGUGAGUAACCUGCCCUUGACUUUGGGAUAACUUCAGGAAACUGGGGCUAAUACCGGAUAGGAGCUCCUGCUGCAUGGUGGGGGUUGGAAAGUUUCGGCGGUUGGGGAUGGACUCGCGGCUUAUCAGCUUGUUGGUGGGGUAGUGGCUUACCAAGGCUUUGACGGGUAGCCGGCCUGAGAGGGUGACCGGCCACAUUGGGACUGAGAUACGGCCCAGACUCCUACGGGAGGCAGCAGUGGGGAAUAUUGCACAAUGGGCGGAAGCCUGAUGCAGCAACGCCGCGUGCGGGAUGACGGCCUUCGGGUUGUAAACCGCUUUCGCCUGUGACGAAGCGUGAGUGAAGGUAAUGGGUAAAGAAGCACCGGCUAACUACGUGCCAGCAGCCGCGGUGAUACGUAGGGUGCGAGCGUUGUCCGGAUUUAUUGGGCGUAAAGGGCUCGUAGGUGGUUGAUCGCGUCGGAAGUGUAAUCUUGGGGCUUAACCCUGAGCGUGCUUUCGAUACGGGUUGACUUGAGGAAGGUAGGGGAGAAUGGAAUUCCUGGUGGAGCGGUGGAAUGCGCAGAUAUCAGGAGGAACACCAGUGGCGAAGGCGGUUCUCUGGGCCUUUCCUGACGCUGAGGAGCGAAAGCGUGGGGAGCGAACAGGCUUAGAUACCCUGGUAGUCCACGCUGUAAACGGUGGGUACUAGGUGUGGGGUCCAUUCCACGGGUUCCGUGCCGUAGCUAACGCUUUAAGUACCCCGCCUGGGGAGUACGGCCGCAAGGCUAAAACUCAAAGGAAUUGACGGGGCCCCGCACAAGCGGCGGAGCAUGCGGAUUAAUUCGAUGCAACGCGUAGAACCUUACCUGGGUUUGACAUGGAUCGGGAGCGCUCAGAGAUGGGUGUGCCUCUUUUGGGGUCGGUUCACAGGUGGUGCAUGGCUGUCGUCAGCUCGUGUCGUGAGAUGUUGGGUUAAGUCCCGCAACGAGCGCAACCCUUGUUCACUGUUGCCAGCACGUUAUGGUGGGGACUCAGUGGAGACCGCCGGGGUCAACUCGGAGGAAGGUGGGGAUGACGUCAAGUCAUCAUGCCCCUUAUGUCCAGGGCUUCACGCAUGCUACAAUGGCUGGUACAGAGAGUGGCGAGCCUGUGAGGGUGAGCGAAUCUCGGAAAGCCGGUCUCAGUUCGGAUUGGGGUCUGCAACUCGACCUCAUGAAGUCGGAGUCGCUAGUAAUCGCAGAUCAGCAACGCUGCGGUGAAUACGUUCCCGGG
rnacentral:rRNA from 1 species